rnacentral:rRNA from 1 species
AUUGAACGCUGGCGGCAUGCCUUACACAUGCAAGUCGAACGGCAGCACGGGAGCAAUCCUGGUGGCGAGUGGCGAACGGGUGAGUAAAGUAUCGGAACGUGCCCAGUCGUGGGGGAUAACGUAGCGAAAGUUACGCUAAUACCGCAUACGAUCUAUGGAUGAAAGCGGGGGAUCGCAAGACCUCGCGCGAUUGGAGCGGCCGAUAUCAGAUUAGGUAGUUGGUGGGGUAAAGGCUCACCAAGCCGACGAUCUGUAGCUGGUCUGAGAGGACGCCCAGCCAGACUGGGACUGAGACACGGCCCAGACUCCUACGGGAGGCAGCAGUGGGGAAUUUUGGACAAUGGGCGAAAGCCUGAUCCAGCCAUGCCGCGUGCAGGAUGAAGGCCUUCGGGUUGUAAACUGCUUUUGUACGGAACGAAAAGGUUUGGCCUAAUAAGCUGAGCUCAUGACGGUACCGUAAGAAUAAGCACCGGCUAACUACGCGCCAGCCGCCGCUGUAA